rnacentral:rRNA from 1 species
GAUGAACGCUCGCUACAGGCUUAACACAUGCAAGUCGAGGGGCAGCAUGGUCUUAGCUUGCUAAGGCCGAUGGCGACCGGCGCACGGGUGAGUAACACGUAUCCAACCUGCCGUCUACUCUUGGACAGCCUUCUGAAAGGAAGAUUAAUACAAGAUGGCAUCAUGAAUCCGCAUGUUCACAUGAUUAAAGGUAUUCCGGUAGACGAUGGGGAUGCGUUCCAUUAGAUAGUAGGCGGGGUAACGGCCCACCUAGUCUUCGAUGGAUAGGGGUUCUGAGAGGAAGGUCCCCCACAUUGGAACUGAGACACGGUCCAAACUCCUACGGGAGGCAGCAGUGAGGAAUAUUGAUCAAUGGGCGAGAGCCUGAACCAGCCAAGUAGCGUGAAGGACGACUGCCCUAUGGGUUGUAAACUUCUUUUAUAAAGGAAUAAAGUCGGGUAUGGAUACCCGUUUGCAUGUACUUUAUGAAUAAGGAUCGGCUAACUCCGUG